AAUUUUGGACAAUGGGCGCAAGCCUGAUCCAGCCAUGCCGCGUGAGUGAAAAAGGCCUUCGGUUGGUAAAGCCCUUUCGGACGGAAAGAAAUCGAGCAGGCUAAUACCCUGCUCGUAUGACGGUACGGUCAUAAGAAGCACUGGCUAACUAGGUCCCAGCAUCCGUGGGAAUACGUAGGGUGCGAGCGUUAAUCGGUAUUACGGGGCGUAAAGCGUGCGCAGGCGGUUGAUUAAGACAGGCGUGAAAUCCCCGGGCUUAACCUGGGAACUGCGCUUGUGACUGGUCAGCUAGAGUACGGCAGAGGGGGGUGGAAUUCCACGUGUAGCAGUGAAAUGCGUAGAGAUGUGGAGGAACACCGAUGGCGAAGGCAGCCCCCUGGGCCGAUACUGACGCUCAUGCACGAAAGCGUGGGUAGCAAACAGG
rnacentral:rRNA from 1 species